GCGACCCCAGGAUGGGCGAGGCCACCCGCUGAGUUUAAGCAUAUC
rnacentral:rRNA from 7 species